rnacentral:rRNA from 1 species
UAGCGAAGGGGGCUAGCGUUGUUUCGGAAUUACUGGGCGUAAAGCGCGCGCAGGCGGCUAUCCAAGUCAGUGGUGAAAGCCCGGAGCUCAACUCCGGAACUGCCAUUGAAACUGUUUAGCUUGAGGACGAGAGAGGUGAGUGGAAUUCCCAGUGUAGAGGUGAAAUUCGUAGAUAUUGGGAAGAACACCGGUGGCGAAGGCGGCUCACUGGCUCGUUUCUGACGCUCAGGCGCGAUAGCGUGGGGAUCAAACAGG